rnacentral:tRNA from 1 species
GUUUCUAUGGCGCAAUUGGCUAGCGCGUCUGACUGUUAAUCAGGAGGUUGACAGUUCAAGCCUGUCUAGGAACG